rnacentral:rRNA from 1 species
AAAGAGUUCUAUAACUCCCAAACCCAUGUGAACAUACCUAACGUUGCCUCGGCAGGUCGCACCUACCUUGUAGCACCCUACCCUGUAGGGCCUACCCGGGAGGUGCGGGUAAGCCUGCCGGCGGCCCACCAAACUCUGUUUGAUAUUGAAUUCUGAACCUAUAACUAAAUAAGUUAAAACUUUCAACAACGGAUCUCUUGGUUCUGGCAUCGAUGAAGAACGCAGCGAAAUGCGAUAAGUAAUGUGAAUUGCAGAAUUCAGUGAAUCAUCGAAUCUUUGAACGCAUAUUGCGCCCAUUAGUAUUCUAGUGGGCAGGACCGUUCGAGCGUCAUUUCAACCCUUAAGCCUUCGUUGCUUAGUGUUGGGAGCCUACGGCAACGUAGCUCCUCAAAGUUAGUGGCGGAGUUGGUUCACACUCUAGACGUAGUAAUUUUUUAUCUCGCCUAUUAGUUGGACUAAUCCCCUGCCGUAAAACCCCCAAUUUAUCAAGGUUGACCUCGAAUCGGUUCAGACAAACUCGCUAAAUUGAAGCAUCUUAGUCAGCGAAGGAAAAGAAACCAACAGGGAUUGCCCUAGUAACGGCGAGUGAAGCGGCAACAGCUCAAAUUUGAAAUCUGGCCCUCGGGUCCGAGUUGUAAUUUGUAGAGGAUGCUUUUGG